rnacentral:rRNA from 1 species
AUUGAACGCUGGCGGCAGGCCUAACACAUGCAAGUCGAGCGGAGCGGCGGACGGGUGAGUAAUGCCUAGGAAUCUGCCUGGUAGUGGGGGAUAACGUCCGGAAACGGGCGCUAAUACCGCAUCCUAUCCGAUGCACCUAGGUCGGAUUAGCUCGUUGGUGGGGGAAAGGCCUACCAAGGCGAAGAUCCGUAGCUGGUCUGAGAGGAUGAUCAGCCACACUGGACCGGAGACACGGUCCAGACUCCUACGGGAGGCAGCAGUGGGGAAUAUUGGACAAUGGGCGCAAGCCUGAUCCAGCCAUACCGCGUGGGUGAAGAAGGCCUUCGGGUUGUAAAGCCCUUUUAUUGGGUAAGCGGUACCCAAAGAAGAAGCACCGGCUAACUCCGUGCCAGCAGCCGCGGUAAUAC